rnacentral:piRNA from 1 species
UAGCUGGCAAAGACUACAGAACAGUCUG